rnacentral:rRNA from 1 species
UACGUAGGGGAGCAAGCGUUGUUCGGAUUUACUGGGCGUAAAGGGCGCGUAGGCGGCCUGUCAAGUCAACUGUGAAAUCUCCGGGCUUAACUCGGAACGGUCAGUUGAUACUGUCAGGCUAGAGUGCAGAAAGGGCAAUCGGAAUUCUUGGUGUAGCGGUGAAAUGCGUAGAUAUCAAGAGGAACACCUGAGGCGAAGGCGGGUUGCUAGGCUGACACUGACGCUGAGGCGCGAAAGCCAGGGGAGCAAACGGG